rnacentral:ncRNA from 1 species
UCAAUGGCGAUGACGGGAAAGAGUAGUAUUUCCAAAGCCUCACAGAGAGCUUCCGGUUGGUGCAAGGAAGCGUGGCGAUGACUUAUGAAUACCUCCCCGAGCUGCCGCCCAAACAAAGAGUUUUAUCUUUCAGUAGGCGCGGUCGGUUAAUCUCCGUUACGGGAUUAGGGUAUAACUUGACCAACAAGGAUGUACCUGCUGAGGCUGUAUCCGUGAGGAUACAGUAAAUAGAGGUGGUAACGCGUUUUUUCGCCCUCUGC